rnacentral:rRNA from 1 species
GACGAACGCUGGCGGCGUGCUUAACACAUGCAAGUCGAACGAAGAGCGAUGGAAGCUUGCUUCUAUCAAUCUUAGUGGCGAACGGGUGAGUAACGCGUAAUCAACCUGCCCUUCAGAGGGGGACAACAGUUGGAAACGACUGCUAAUACCGCAUACGAUCUAAUCUCGGCAUCGAGGAUAGAUGAAAGGUGGCCUCUACAUGUAAGCUAUCACUGAAGGAGGGGAUUGCGUCUGAUUAGCUAGUUGGAGGGGUAACGGCCCACCAAGGCGAUGAUCAGUAGCCGGUCUGAGAGGAUGAACGGCCACAGUGGGACUGAGACACGGCCCAGACUCCUACGGGAGGCAGCAGUGGGGAAUCUUGCGCAAUGGACGAAAGUCUGACGGAGCAACGCCGCGUGAGUGAUGACGGCCUUCGGGUUGUAAAGCUCUGUUAAUCGGGACGAAAGGCCUUCUUGCGAAUAGUGAGAAGGAUUGACGGUACCGGAAUAGAAAGCCACGGCUAACUACGUG